rnacentral:ncRNA from 1 species
AUAUACAUGGGUAUAUAAGAGUGUCGUGGCUGUACUCCCUUCAAUGUGGAACACGCCACGUUAAAUAAAACUCGGAGGGAUCCGAUCCACACCACCUGUCCCUAUCUACUAUCUAGCGAAACCACAGCCAAGGGAACGGGCUUGGAAUAAUUAGCGGGAAAAGAAGACCCUUUUGAGCUUGACUCUAAUCUGGCAGUGUAAGGAGACAUAAGAGGUGUAGAAUAAGUGGGAGAUAUUAGGCUUCGGUUUGAUAUCGACAAUGAAAUACCACUACUCUUAUUGUUUCCUUACUUACUUGAUUAAAUGGAACGUGUAUCAUUUCCUAGCCAUUAUACGGAUAUAUUUAUUAUAUCUUAUGGUAUUGGGUUUUGAUGCAAGCUUCUUGAUCAAAGUAUCACGAGUUUGUUAUAUAAUCGCAAACAAAUUCUUAUAAAACGAUGCAUUUAUGUAUUUUUGAUUUGAAAAUUUGGUAUAACUCCAAUUACUCAGGUAUGAUCCAAUUCAAGGACAUUGCCAGGUAGGGAGUUUGACUGGGGCGGUACAUCUCUCAAAUAAUAACGGAGGUGUCCCAAGGCCAGCUCAGUGCG